CAACGCUAUCUUAUUCAGAAUGGAGGACACCAAUGAGUCCAAUGACAUCACAAAGGUUCUCAACAUCAUCAACAACUUCCAGGCAUCAACCAUCUCUCCUGAUGAAAUCAUCGACGUUUCCCGUGACAGCCCUGAAUUCAAGAAUAGCGAGAGCUUGGUGGCUCCACGUUUCUGCAGAGUGGUUUGCAAGAGUGAAACCAGCAAACGCAAAUUAAUCUCCACAAGAAACUCACUCACCAAAAGCUGCACAAACCAUAAGAAACUUUGUUCACGGCCCAACCUAUCCAUACUACAAUGUGCCUGUGCCUGCAAGCUCUGAUCAAAGCUCAAAAAACACCAGGACCAAGGAAAGAUUGACCUAUACAUUGACUGUAUCAAAUGCAAGACCAGCGGCUCAUGUCCAAACAACUGCCCCCCCCCAACAAUCAAAACUAGGCAUGCACACCUCCAACUUCCUCCAGAUCCAUCCCUACAGACCUUAAAUGCAAGCUACUUAACGCAAGAAGCUUCGCAAACAAAAUGCCUGAAUUCCUCCUGCUACUAAAUAUGGCCCUAUUCUGUCUUAUCUUUGUCUGCAAGAUGUGGUUGAAUGUAUCCUUUCCAGACUCCAUUACCACAGCCUUGAAGUUACAGAGAAUUAGGACAAUCUCUUCAGAUUUUCCAUAGAUCCCAAUGGAGAAUGUAUUGGGAUCCAGAUGAUAUUGAAUCACUUCAAUCACUUCAUCACUGAAUUUGCUCCAUUUGUGAAAGUUAACAAAGCACUAAGAAAAAGAAUGACUCCUACUUUGGGAACAUGAUGCCUACCUUGGAGUUGGAAAGUUGCUCUGAUUAUAUAUUCUUUCUUGAAAGAAAUGCAGGUGGCCUUCAUGAUGUCAACAUUUAGAAAAUCAAAAAACAAGCCUGUUCACUUAGGAGUGUGUACUCUCUUAUUUUUUUCUGAAAGAGGAAUGGAGCUUUUCUGAUACAUUGAAUAUUUAAAGACUAAGAAUUUGCAAGACGAAGCAAAGACUGCCUCCUGCGAUAAGAGGAAUUAUUGUUGUGAAGAAUUCCUUUAAGAUUCAAUCUUAAUCAUUUUGCUAUUGAAAUGGAAGAAUAAAGUAAUAUGAGGUUUGAAUAGA